ACACAUACACAUGCAGUCCUACCCUCUUUAAGUUCCAUCCCAGAUCCACACCCUUAUUAUUCUGCAGGAUUUAGUUUUGCUACUAUUUCAGAGCAAAAAGCCUUUGUUAAACUAUCUCCUUUCUCUUCUCUGGAAGAGAACUCAGCCAUAGUCUGCUGAACGAGAGCUGAACUUCCCUUUAGGCAAACUGUGGGUUCCACUUCCCUGUUGUCUCCCUUCCCAAGAGGAGUGUGGGCAGAAGCAUAUAGAUGGGAGGAAUAACCAAGGCCAAGAUUUAAUCUCUCUGUUAGGGAAUGGGUUUUUCAGAACUAGUAGUAAAAUUGUUUGCAGAGACCGUUGCCAGUAAAAGGAAUCUCUAUCCCGUCAACAUACUUCCAUUCCUUUCUUCCAGCCGCCUCUUUCCCUUUCACCUGGUACCUUUGUGGGGUUUCAGCCAUAUGGCUCUUAAUGAAUCUUGUCUGAAAGUGGCAGGUUGAGCUGUGCAGAUCACAGUACCCCUGGGUCUGCCUCUCCCUUCACAGCAGCUGUUUGCCACUGACCAAGGUGGCGACUGAGCCUGUGUGUGUGGCCGGAGUCUGUGAUGAGACUCCCACCCAGGCCUGGGGAAGCCCUCAGUCAGUGUGGUUCCUGUGGCAGCAGCCAAAUACGCCAGAGCUCCUCAUACCUUCAGGGCUAUGGUGUAACAGCCAGCUUUAUGCGGUGGCAUUGUUUAGCAUUGGUUGACUUGACUUCUCUGUCCCCACCUUCUUUGUUUAAGGGAAUCUGGCCAUGGCUCAGUAGAAAAGAAGCUGGCAUUUGCAGAGUGGCUUCCUGCUGCCUCUCUUGUAGUAGGAACCAGGACCACCUUCCAUUUCUGCCUCUCUACCCGUGUGGCAAUGACAGAGAUCACAAGGAGGCAGAGAGGCAGGCAGAGAGAGGAGGAAGCAGGCUCCCCGCUGAGCAGAGAGCCCGAUGCAGGACUCGAUCCCAGGACCCUGAGAUCAUGACCUGAGCCGAAGGCAGCGGCUUUAACCCACUGAGCCACCCAGGCGCCCACAAAUUGAAAGAAUUUUACAGUGAACUCACUUAUCUUAGCAUCUAGAGUCUGUCAUUCUCCUUUUAUUAUACUUGCUUUAUCAUGUAUUUGUACAUCUCCCUGUACAUCCAUCAUCAAUUUGUUGUGGGUUUUUUUUUUUUUUUUCAAUUUUCUUAAGUAAUCUCUAGACCCAAAAUGGAACUCAAACUCACAAUCCUGAGAUCAGGAGUUGCAUGCUCUACUGACCAAACCAACCUGGUGCCCUUUUCAUCAAUUUCUUUGUGAUCUAUGUCAUCAGUACAUUUUCCCUAAAUCCUUCAGCAUGCUAUGUGUCAUUAACUAGAGUUCAGUGUUUGUUUAUGGCUUUUUCUUUUGAAAAGCCAUGAUCCUGAGAUCAUGACCUGAGCCGAAGGCAGACACUUAACCAUCUGAGCCACCCAGGCACCCCAGGUCAUUUCUUUUUAUUCCUGAAUAAUAUUCCAUUGUAUAGAUGUACCACAGUUUUUUUAUCCAUUCACCUGUUGAAGGACAUCUUGAUUGCAACCAGGUUUUGGAAGUUGUGGAUGAAGCCACUCCAAAUUAUAAAUAAAGCUGCUCUUUUUGUGUGUGGAA